rnacentral:rRNA from 1 species
AUUGAACGCUGGCGGCAGGCCUAAUACAUGCAAGUCGAGCGGAGCGGCGGACGGGUGAGUAAUGCCUAGGAAUCUGCCUGGUAGUGGGGGAUAACGUCCGGAAACGGGAGAUAAUACCGCAUACUAUCAGAUGAGCCUCGGUGGGAUUAGCUAGUUGGUGGGGUAAAGGCCUACCAAGGCGACGAUCCGUAACUGGUCUGAGAGGAUGAUCAGUCACAAUGGAACUGAGCCACGGUCCAGGCUCCUACGGUAGGCAGCAGUGGGGAAUCUUGGGCAAUGGGCGAAAGCCUGAUCCAGCCAUGCCGCGUGUGUGAAGCAGGUCUUCGGAUUGUAAAUCACUUUAGGUUGAGAAGCGUUACCAACACAGUAAGCACCGGCUAACUUCGUGCCAGCAGCCGCGGUAAUAC